CGAGGACGAACGCUGGCGGCACGCCUAACACAUGCAAGUCGAACGGUGUUUGAGAGCUUGCUCUUAAAACAUAGUGGCGGACGGGUGAGUAACACGUGAGCAACCUGCCUCUGAGAGAGGGAUAGCUUCUGGAAACGGAUGGUAAUACCUCAUAACAUAGCUGGACCGCAUGAUCCGGUUAUCAAAGAUUUAUCACUCAGAGAUGGGCUCGCGUCUGAUUAGCUAGUUGGUGAGGUAACGGCCCACCAAGGCGACGAUCAGUAGCCGGACUGAGAGGUUGAACGGCCACAUUGGGACUGAGACACGGCCCAGACUCCUACGGGAGGCAGCAGUGAGGGAUAUUGCACAAUGGAGGAAACUCUGAUGCAGCGAUGCCGCGUGGAGGAAGUAAGGUUUUCGGAUUGUAAACUCCUGUUUCGAGGGACGAUAAUGACGGUACCUCGGGAGGAAGCUCCGGCUAACUACGUGCCAGCCGCGGC
rnacentral:rRNA from 1 species